rnacentral:snoRNA from 1 species
AGGCUAUGAUGUGGGCACUUCCUUAGUAGGUCCUUGAAUCUCUUCCAAGCUUCAUACGGACUCUCUUGAUCAUGGUGGGUAAAGGUCACUAUCUCAUUGGGCAGUUU